AUAUCAGUCAUGCAUAGCAUAUCAAUAAGCGGAGGAAAAGAAACUAACAAGGAUUCCCCUAGUAACGGCGAGUGAAGCGGGAAGAGCUCAAAUUUGAAAUCUUAAAGGGUUUCCCUUUACGAAUUGUAGUUUAAAGAAGUGUUUUCUGUUGAGGUUUUGGUAAAAGUUCUUUGGAAUAGGACAUCAUAGAGGGUGAGAAUCCCGUAUUUGACCUUUACUUUCAACUUUGUGAUACACUUUCAAAGAGUCGGAUUGUUUGGGAAUGCAGUCCAAAAUGGGUGGUAAAUUUCAUCUAAAGCUAAAUAUUGGCGAGAGACCGAUAGCGAACAAGUACCGUGAGGGAAAGAUGAAAAGAACUUUGAAAAGAGAGUUAAACAGUACGUGAAAUUGUCAAAAGGGAAGCGUUUGACACCAGUGUUGUUUUUCUGAAAAUCAAUUAAAGAACUGUUUAUGCUAAGUUGUUUAGACUUUAUCAGCUAACUGUUUAGUUUUGAGCUUUUCUUUAAUGCACUUUUCAGUUAACAAGUCAACAUCAAUUUCUUUUGCUGUAAAAAAGCUUGAGGAAGGUGGCUUGAGAUUCGUCUUAAGUGUUUAUAGCCUCUUGCCUAUGCAGUCGGAGAGAUUGAGGUCUGCAGCGUAGAUCCUUCGGGGCUAGAAUGCAUUUGUGCUAAGUUAUAGCAUUUUAUAGACAACUUGUUGACUAUGAUUUGUCUUGUAGCUUACUCGCUUAUGUUAUUUUACCUACGCUUAGGAUGUUGACGCGCGUGUGUGCGUG
rnacentral:rRNA from 1 species